UGGGGAAUAUUGCACAAUGGGCGCAAGCCUGAUGCAGCGACGCCGCGUGAGGGAUGACGGCCUUCGGGUUGUAAACCUCUUUCAGCAGGGAAGAAGCGAGAGUGACGGUACCUGCAGAAGAAGCGCCGGCUAACUACGUGCCAGCAGCCGCGGUAAUACGUAGGGCGCAAGCGUUGUCCGGAAUUAUUGGGCGUAAAGAGCUCGUAGGCGGUUUGUCGCGUCUGCUGUGAAAGCCCGGGGCUUAACUCCGGGUGUGCAGUGGGUACGGGCAGACUAGAGUGCAGUAGGGGAGACUGGAAUUCCUGGUGUAGCGGUGGAAUGCGCAGAUAUCAGGAGGAACACCGAUGGCGAAGGCAGGUCUCUGGGCUGUUACUGACGCUGAGGAGCGAAAGCAUGGGGAGCGAACA
rnacentral:rRNA from 1 species